rnacentral:rRNA from 1 species
AUUGAACGCUGGCGGAAUGCUUUACACAUGCAAGUCGAACGGCAGCACGGGGGCAACCCUGGUGGCGAGUGGCGAACGGGUGAGUAAUACAUCGGAACGUGCCCGGUCGUGGGGGAUAACGUAGCGAAAGUUACGCUAAUACCGCAUACGAUCUGAGGAUGAAAGCGGGGGACCUUCGGGCCUCGCGCGAUCGGAGCGGCCGAUGUCAGAUUAGGUAGUUGGUGGGGUAAAGGCCUACCAAGCCGACGAUCUGUAGCUGGUCUGAGAGGACGACCAGCCACACUGGGACUGAGACACGGCCCAGACUCCUACGGGAGGCAGCAGUGGGGAAUUUUGGACAAUGGGCGCAAGCCUGAUCCAGCCAUUCCGCGUGCAGGACGAAGGCCUUCGGGUUGUAAACUGCUUUUGUAUGGAACGAAAAGGCUCUGGCUAAUACCUGGGGCUCAUGACGGUACCGUAAGAAUAAGCACCGGCUAGCUACGUG